UUGAUUCUGGCUCAGAAUCAACGCUGGCGGCGUGCCUCAGACAUGCAAGUCGAACGCGAAAGCCCUUCGGGGUGAGUAGAGUGGCGCACGGGUGAGUAAUACGUAGGUAAUCUACCUCUGGGUGGGGAAUAACGACCGGAAACGGUCGCUAAUACCGCAUAACGCGGCGGCGCGAAAGCGCCCGCCGUUAAAGCGGGGGUACGAGCAAUCGUCCCCGCGCCUAGAGAUGAGCUCGCGGCGGAUUAGCUAUUUGGCGGGGUAACGGCCCACCAAGGCGACGAUCCGUAGCCGGCCUGAGAUGGCGGACGGCCACACUGGCACUGACAUACGGGCCAGACUCCUACGGGAGUCAGCAGUCGGGAAUUUUGGGCAAUGGGCGAAAGCCUGACCCAGCAACGCUGCGUGAAGGAUGAAGCUUCUCGGAGUGUAAACUUCAUAAGAAUGGGACGUAUAAGGAGGGGUUAACACCCCCUUUGAUGACGGUACCAUUUGUAAGCUCUGGCUAACUCCGUGCCAGCAGCCGCGGUAAUAAGGU
rnacentral:rRNA from 1 species